rnacentral:rRNA from 1 species
AUGGCUAGCGAUAUACAUAACUUGGAUGACACUGAUGAUGAUUACUAUGCUUUUGCUGAAGAUUAUUCUCUAGUGUCACAGUCGCAAUUUCAUGAUGGAUGUUUUGAUUCCCUAAAUGUUGGUGGUGGCGAUCCUCAGUUUGACGUCGAGACUUUCCUACAUAACCUUCGCCACAUGUUUUAUUCAUCUAAAAGGGAUGGCGGUUCUGAACCUAAUGAAGUUUUCCAGAAAGAACCCAAGAAACCAGGUAAAGAAGAUGGUUUCACUACUUUGGGGGGAUGCAUUUAUGUGCUGGCUGUAAGUUUUCCUGCUCACUUUUUUUGUCAUUGUUGUUGUUGA